UGCUCCUUUACUUUACCCCAUAAAAUCCAGAGGGAGAGGGAUUGUGGAGAAACCUCCUCAGCAGACUUUCCUUCAGUGUUCUGCUGCUCUCAACAGGCUCGAUGAGUCCUGACAGUAGUUCUGUUCAAACCGCCAUUUUUUAGGUGUGAUAUUUACGCCCCUGUCAUGUUUCGCCUACAGUAUGACUGUGUCAUGGAGGUGUAAUGGGGGGAUGUAGAGAGACGGUGGGGGAGAACAGUGCUGUGUGCGUGUGCGUGCGCGUGUGUCUGUGUGUGUCUGUGUGUGUGUGUCUGACUGUGUGUCUGUGUGUCUGUGUGUGUGUGUGUGUGUGUGUGUGUGUGUGUGUGUGUGUCUGUGUGUGUGUGUCUGACUGUGUGUGUGUGUGUGUGUGUGUGUGUGUGUGUGUGUGUGUGUGUGUGUGUCUGUGUGUCUGUGUGUCUGUGUCUGUGUGUGUGUGUCUGACUGUGUGUCUGUGUCUGUGUGUGUGUGUGUGUGUGUUUGUGUGUGUGUGUGUGUGUGUGUG